rnacentral:sRNA from 1 species
GGUGAGUGCCCGCAAUGCUGCCCCACAGCUCCUCUGGCCAUCCCCCCCCACCAGGUGGGCCCUUCCCUGCUCCUGACAUGGCCAGGAUGACCUGGGCCCUUUCAUCUACUUGCCUCUUCACUCAACACCCCACCAGGGAGGGCCCUGCCCACGCCUGGGCUCCAUGAAAUCCUCUCUUAUGUUCACUGACCCACAUUCCCUGGGCACCUACAUUUAGCAGGCUCUGAGCUGGGCACUGGGUGGGGUCAGACAUGUCCCUGCCCUUCUGGAGCUUCCAUACUGCUGGGAGCAGGGCUGGGCAGAGGAGAAGCAGCAGUGUUUGCCCCAUAUGACCAGGGUUUCUAUGAGGGGUUUUGGGGGUUUGGGAGCCCCAAGGAAGGAAGACUCAGCCUGGACGAGGUGGAGGACUGGGCGCUGUGCUCAUCCCUCUGUUAGACUACCAGGUAGCCUAGGCCUGUGGACUCCGGGGCCCUCUCUCGUGCCCACUGCUCCAGGCUGCCCUGUCCUGUCGCUCAAGGCCACCCUGGGCCUCCUUGCCUCCUGUAUACCCACAAAUCCAUGUGAUUCCCUUGCAGGUCCACAGGGCCCCCCAGGGAGCCCUGGCCGGGCUGGAGCUGUGGGCACCCCUGGAGAGAGGGGACCUCCUGGGCCACCAGGGCCUCCUGGUCCCCCUGGGCCCCCAGCCCCUGUUGGGCCACCCCAUGCCCGGAUCUCCCAGCAUGGUGAGUCCCCCUGGGAUCCCAGCAGGUGGAGGUGGGGGUGGAGUAGCCAUCAGCACAGUGCCCGCUACCAUCUGCCAGGUGCCUUCUGUGUGCCAGCCCUGCUCAUGGUAGGCCACAUGUGACCCAGUCCUCCAGCAGGCGCCGUUGUCCUGUGGUUACAGAUGAGGAACACUGAGGACCAGAGAAGGAAGGUGGCUUGCCAGGGUCCCACAGCCUGGGUGUAGGGGAACGGCUUCAAACCCAGGCUGCCUCCAGAACCUGUGCUUAGAGCCACCGGGCAUCAGGCCCUCCCGAGCCUUGGAACUGGCUGGAAUCCAGUUCUCAGAGCACUGGGACGCAAAAGACCCGGCAGCAGGAAGCGAGCCCUGAACUCCCAAGGCCACAGGCCUGGCCCCUCCUCCAGGCCCUGACGUGCAUCCUUGGCUUCUUCCCUUUGGCAGCCCAGCCUGACCUGCCCAUGGGCUGCCAGGGGUCAGAGUGUGGAGCGCCAGGUUUCAGCCUCUUCUCCACCAUGUUUUUGGUGCACAACCCAGCACACCAUUCAUUCUGCCAUCCCAGCAUUCAUUCCAUCUCACUGUCCAUACGAUGGGGACAAUGACAGUGCCAGCCUCCCAGAGCUGCGUAACACCCAUGUACAGAAGCCUGGCACACAGUAAGUGGUGGAUAAAUGGUAUCUUUUAUUGUCAUUCCCAUUUGACAGGUGACAGUCCAGGCUCUGAAAAGUAGAGAGUGUUGCUGGAUGUCACCAGCUAGAUUGCAGUGGGGUUAGAACCCACAUCUCCCUGCCUCCUGGUCUUGCGGGACCAACACUCUCCACACUCCUCACCCUGGAGCAGGUGCCCAGGUGGUACCAGCCAUGCUGCAGGCUGCCCCAUAGGGCAGUCCAAGCUGUCUUGGCAGAGGUGGCAGGUGAAGACUAACCACCCCGUUCUACCCAGCUCUACUCACUCAUCAUCUUUGCUCACCCAGGAGACCCAUUGCUAUCCAACACCUUCACUGAGACCAACAACCACUGGCCCCAGGGACCCACUGGGCCUCCAGGCCCUCCAGGGCCCAUGGGUCCCCCUGGGCCUCCUGGCCCCACAGGUGUCCCUGGGAGUCCUGGACACAUAGUGAGUAGUUCUCCUUGUACUCUCACCCAUGUGUCUGUCCAUCUUUCCAUUUAUCCAUACAUCCAUAUAUCUGUCCAUCAUCCACCCUUGUAUCCAUCUAUCCAUCCAUCCAUUCAUCCUUCCAUUCAUUCAUUCAACAAGUAUUUAUUGAGCACUUAAUAUGCAAACUACCUUCCAUAAAUCUUAUUCAAUCCAA